AGUGAACGCUGGCGGUAGGCCUAACACAUGCAAGUCGAACGGCAGCACAGAGGAGCUUGCUCCUUGGGUGGCGAGUGGCGGACGGGUGAGGAAUACAUCGGAAUCUACUCUGUCGUGGGGGAUAACGUAGGGAAACUUACGCUAAUACCGCAUACGACCUACGGGUGAAAGCAGGGGAUCUUCGGACCUUGCGCGAUUGAAUGAGCCGAUGUCGGAUUAGCUAGUUGGCGGGGUAAAGGCCCACCAAGGCGACGAUCCGUAGCUGGUCUGAGAGGAAGAUCAGCCACACUAGAACUGAGACACGGUCCAGACUCCUACGGGAGGCAGCAGUGGGGAAAAGUGGACAAUGGGCGCAAGCCUGAUCCAGCCAUACCGCGUGGUGGAAGAAGGCCUUCGGGUUGAAAAGCCCUUUUGUUGGGAAAGAAAUCCGUCUGGUUAAUACCCGGAUGGGAUGACGGUACCCAAAGAAUAAGCACCGGCUAACUUCGUGCCAGCAGCCGCCGUAA
rnacentral:rRNA from 1 species